UACGUAGGUGACUAGCGUUGUCCAGAUUUACUGGGCGUAAAGAGCGCGCAGGCAGUCGUUCAAGUCGAGUGUGAAAGCCCCCGGCUCAACUGGAGAGAGUCAUUCGAUACUGAUCGACUCGAAGGCAGGAGAGGGAAGCGGAAUUCCCGGUGUAAUGGUGAAAUGCGUAGAUAUCGAGAGGAACACCAGUGGCGAAGGCGGCUUCCUGGCCUGUUCUUGACGCUGAGGCGCGAAAGCUAGGAGAGCAAACGGG
rnacentral:rRNA from 1 species